rnacentral:rRNA from 1 species
GAUUUCUGGUUCGGCGCACUUGGCCCGUCUCGGUUUACGGGAUUGCGUGCCGGUGUGCGCCAUCCAUCCUUCGAUGAGAACACCUCUACCCUUUACUGGGGAAGGUGCCUCUCUCGAUCUUUUACUUUGAAAAAAUUAGAGUGUUUAAAGCAGGCUUGCGCUAUGAAUACAUUAGCAUGGAAUAAUAAUUUAGGACUUUGGUCUUAUUUUGUUGGUUUCUAGGACUGAAGUAAUGAUUGAUAGGGACAGUUGGGGGUGCUAGUAUUCAGCGGCCAGAGGUGAAAUUCUUGGAUUCGCUGAAGACUAACUUAUGCGAAAGCAUU